rnacentral:tRNA from 1 species
AAAGCUUUAAGUUAAAAUAAACUUAUAGCCUUCAAAGUUAUCAAUAAAAUAAUUAUUUUAAGCUUUA